GAAUCUUCCGCAAUGCGCGAAAGCGUGACGGAGCAAUGCCGCGUGCAGGAUGAAGCCCCUCGGGGUGUAAACUGCUGUCAGGGUUCAGCAACACAAUGAGCAGACCCAAAGGAAGGGCCGGCUAACUUCGUGCCAGCAGCCGCGGUAAUACGAAGGGCCCGAGCGUUGCGCGGAAUCACUGGGCUUAAAGCGUACGUAGGCGGGCGUGCAGGCACUUUGUGAAAUCCCCCGGCUCAACCGGGGAAUUGCUUGGUGAACCGCACGUCUUGAGACGAGUAGGGGCUGUCGGAACGAUAGGUGGAGCGGUGAAAUGCGUUGAUAUCUAUCGGAACGCCAAAGGUGAAAACAGGCCGCUGGGCUUGUUCUGACGCUGAGGUACGAAAGCGUGGGGAGCGAACGGG
rnacentral:rRNA from 1 species